AUUGCACGCUGGCGGCAGGCCUAACACAUGCAAGUCGAACGCGUGGCGGACGGGUGAGUAAUGUCUGGGAAACUGCCUGAUGGAGGGGGAUAACUCUUGGAAACGGUAGCUAAUACCGCAUACCAUCGGAUGUGCCCAGAUGGGAUUAGCUAGUAGGUGGGGUAAAGGCAUACCAAGGCGACGAUCCGUAACGGGUCUGAGAGGAUGAUCAGUCACACUGGAACUGAGACACGGUCCAGACUCCUACGGGAGGCAGCAGUGGGGAAUAUUGGACAAUGGGCGAAAGCCUGAUCCAGCCAUGCCGCGUGUGUGAAGAAGGCCUUCGGGUUGUAAAGCACUUUAAGUUGGGAGGCGUUACCCACAGAAGAAGCACCGGCUAACUGCGUGCCAGCAGCCGCGGUAAUAC
rnacentral:rRNA from 1 species